GACGAACGCUGGCGGCGUGCCUAAUACAUGCAAGUCGAGCGAAUGACGAGAAGCUUGCUUCUCUGAUUUAGCGGCGGACGGGUGAGUAACACGUGGGCAACCUGCCCUACAGAUCGGGAUAACUCAGGGAAACCUGGGCUAAUACCGGAUAAUCCUUCGAAUCACAUGUUUUGAAGUUGAAAGGCGCUUCGGCGUCACUGUAGGAUGGGCCCGCGGUGCAUUAGCUAGUUGGUGGGUUAACGGCCUACCAAGGCAACGAUGCAUAGCCGACCUGAGAGGGUGAUCGGCCACAUUGGGACUGAGACACGGCCCAAACUCCUACGGGAGGCAGCAGUAGGGAAUCUUCCACAAUGGACGAAAGUCUGAUGGAGCAACGCCGCGUGAGUGAUGAAGGUUUUCGGAUCGUAAAACUCUGUUGUAAGGGAAGAACAAGUACGUUAGGAAAUGAACGUACCCUGACGGUACCUUAUUAGAAAGCCACGGCUAACUACGUGCCAGCAGCCGCAGUAA
rnacentral:rRNA from 1 species